CUGAAUUAACAACAAAUAAAAAUAGAAGUUUAUGUGUGUUGCAACUUAAUGGUUAUUACCAUAUUUAGAUUUUAAAUUGGUUAUAGAAGAGAGAAAAAUAGAAGAAAAAACAGGAUCGUAUGAGAAAUACCUGAGAGUUGGAAGAAAUUAUUUUGUGAAGCCAAUAAAAUUAUUGGUUCUAAUGAAACAAAUUCCAAGCCAAGGUGAGUAGUAGA
rnacentral:lncRNA from 1 species